rfam:Candidatus Azambacteria bacterium RIFCSPLOWO2_02_FTLL_44_14 rifcsplowo2_02_scaffold_3211, whole genome shotgun sequence.
GAGUAGGUUACUAAGGGCGUAUGGUGGAUGCCUUGGCACAAAAAGGCGAUGAAGGACGUGGCGUGACUGCGAUAAGCGUCGGGGAGCUGUCUAGCGAGCUUUGAUCCGGCGAUGUCCGAAUGGGAAAACCUAUAGCGAGUAAUGUCGCUAUAUCUUCAUCCGUAAGUGAUGAAGAUGCAAACCCAGGGAAGUGAAACAUCUCAGUACCUGGAGGAAAAGAAAAAAUAUGAUCACUUUAUUAUUUGUGGGCCGGUAUGGUCCGACUCAUAAAUAAUAUUGUGAUUUCAUUCUCCUAGUAGCGGCGAGCGAAAAGGGAACAGCCCAAACCAAUUCGAUAUAUCGUUAUUUCGAAAUGUCGGAUUGGGGUUGUAAGAAGCGAUCUGCUUUAAUGCGAGGGAACGCGAAAAGGUUAAUUAAAUGGUUUUGGAACAGCCAGCCAAAGAGGGUAAUAGCCCCGUAAAUGAAAAUCUUCUUAGCAUUCUUGAUCGUUCUCUUGAGUACCGCGGGGAAAGACUGCCCCGUGGGAAUCCGGGAGUCCUACACUCCCAAGGCUAAAUACUUUUUGUGACCGAUAGUGAACUAGUACCGUGAGGGAAAGGUGAAAAGCAGCCCGGUGAGGGCGGUGAAAUAGAACCUGAAACCAUAUGCUUACAAAGAGUCGGAGCCCUAGACCGGCCCGCAAGGGCUUAGGUCGGGUGACGGCGUGCCUAUUGAAGAAUGAGCCAACGACUUUUUACGUUUUGCUUGUCUAACCCGCUCCGCGGGGGAGGCACAGGGAAACCGAGUGUUAAAAGCGCGAACUCGAUAUAUCGAUAUUUCGAAAUGUCGAGAGGCAGAACGUAAAAGACCCGAAGCCAGGCGAGCUUACCAUGGCCAGGAUGAAUCUUGGGUAAUACCAAGAGGAGGUCCGCACCCACUAGCCGUGCAAAACUAGGGGAUGAGCUGUGGUAAGAAGUGAAAAGCUAAUCGAGCCUGGGAAUAGCUGGUUCUCUCCGAAAUAGUUUUAGGACUAGCCCCGAUAUCCACUUGAAUGGAGGUAGAGCACUGGUUGGUCUGUUCUGGCGCAAGCCAGGCGGACCAGUCAAACUCCGAAUUCCGUUCAGGACUGUGUCGGGAGUCAGACUGUGGGGGCUAAGCUCCAUGGUCAAAAGAGCAAGAACUCGGAUCAUCAUCUAAGGUCCCUAAAUUUUGGCUAAGUGAAAAAGGUGGUGGUGCGUCGAAGACAGGUAGGAGGUUGGCUUAGAGGUAGCCAUCCUUUAAAGAGUGUGUAACAACUCACUACCAUAUCCCGAGCGUAAGCGAGGGAUUGACGCGCUGCGCCGAAAAUAUAACGGGACUAAGCCAAAUACCGAAGAUAUGGGAUUAAUUUUGCUUCGGCAAAAUUAUUCGGUAGGAGAGCGUUUUGAACGCAGCGAAGAUUGACCCGCGAGGGCGAUUGGAGCGUUCAGAAGAGCAAAUGUUGGCAUGAGUAACCUGCAAGACCGGUGAGAAACCGGUCCGCCGAAAGUCUGAGGUUUCCUUGGCAAUGAAAAUCAUCCAAGGGUUAGGCGGUCCUAAGGCAAUGGAGAAAUCCGCAGCUGAUGGACAGACGGUUAAUAUUCCGUCCCCGCCUUAAGUGCUUUUACGGAGUGACGCAGUUCUGUACGUUGAGCGCCUUAUUGGAUUGGCGUUGUUGGCGCGAGGAUCUCUGACAGGUAAAUCCGUCAGGGUGCAUUUAAUUGUGAAUCCGAGCGCAGACAAAAUUCCUUUCUUCGGAUUGGGAAAUUCAACAGAGCGAGCUGCCUAGAAAACCUUCGUAAAUUAAUUUAAGGCGACCGUACCGCAAACCGACACAGGUAGACAGGGCGAGUAGCCCACGGCGAACGAGUGAUACGUGGUUAAGGAACUCGGCAAAAAAGCGGCCGUAACUUAGGAAUAUGGCCUGCCCUCUUUAUGGGGGCCGCAGCUAAAGAAUCCCGGGCGACUGUUUAACAAAAACACAGCUCCCUGCUAACUCGUAAGAGGAUGUAUAGGGGGUGACGCCUGACCGAUGCGAGAAGGUUAACGAUGGAGGUUUUCUUGUAGUAAUAUGGGAAAGCUGAUGUCCGAAGCCCUCGUCAAUGUCAGCAGUAACUAUAACUGUUCUAAGGUGAAUUAAAUUGCCUUAGUAAAAUUUGGCUGUAUGCUGGAACAUCUGUGGAUAAAAUCCUUAAGAAUCCGAAACUACUAUGGUAUAAUACGUCCAUAGAUUUAUGGCGUAUUUAUCAAGUAAAAAAGUUAUCGGUGCAGACAAUCAGCAGGAAAGGCUUAAAAUCGCUAAUUGGAUUUGCGGUUUUGUUGAUGGUGAGGGCUGUUUUUCAGUCAGCAUCAUUAAAAACAAGACUACAAAAUCCGGAAUCCAGAUUUUUCCUGAAUUUGUAAUAACGCAAGGCGCAAAAAGUUUGCCAGCUCUUGAAGAAAUCAAAAAAUUCUUCGGAUGCGGUAAUAUUUUUGUGAACCGGCGUUAUGACAAUCAUAAUGAAGAUAUUUAUCGUUAUUGUGUUCGUUCUCUGAAAGAAUUGGAUUCAAAAAUAAUCCCAUUCUUUUCAGAAAACAAUCUUCGGACUUACAAACAAAAAGAUUUUAAAAUCUUUCAAAGGGUAAUCUGGAAGAUGUCUAAAAAGGAGCACCUAAACGAUGUGGGGCAAAAAAUGAUUGUUGAUUUAGCUGGAAAAAUGAAUCGGAAAAGAAAGCGAUUUUAAGAAUCCUCAGAGACUAUACGCCAAACCAGCCAUAAAUUCUUUUGGCUUGGAAAAUAUAGUCCGAACUCUAUGGCGACAUGGAGAGAUAGACAGAAAUGCUCUAUCCUAAAUCUAGAUUCUAUUUUCUAAUUUCUAGAUUCUGUAACAUAAUUGAGCGCAAUUCCUUGCGUGGUAAGUUCACGCGCGCACGAAAGGCGUAACGACUUGGGAACUGUCUCAACCGCGUACUCGGUGAAAUUGCAAUUCCAGCGAAGAUGCUGGGUACCUGCAGCAAGACGAAAAGACCCCGGGAGCUUUACUGUAGCUUAGUAUUGGCUAUAGGACUCUAAUGCGUAGCAUAGAAGGGAGGCUUUGAAGCCGUGUUUUUGGAUGCGGUGGAGCCAUCAGUGAAAUACCUUUCUUUAGAGUUUUAUAAUCUAACCGGCAGGGCAAAAACCUGUCGGGACAGUGCUUGGCGGGCAGUUUGAGUGGGGCGCUCUCCUCCAAAAGCGUAACGGAGGAGUCCAUUAAGGUCGGCUAGCUCCGGAUGGAAAUCGGAGCGAUAGGGUAAAGCCACAAGCCGGCUUAACUGCAAGGCGUACAUGCCGCGCAGAUACGAAAGUAGGGCUUAGUGAACCGAUCGUGGUUUGUAGAAACGCGAAAGAUCAUCGGACAAAAGCUACCCCGGGGAUAACAGGCUAGUCGGGUCCAAGAGUCCACAUCGACGACCCGGUUCGGCACCUUAACAUAUCGGGGUGCAAUAUUAGUAAUGAUAUUCCUUGAAUAUAACCACUGUAUUCUAAAGAAAAAAUUGGCUUAUAACGGUGAACUCCAUGUGGUAAAAUAGCUAUAUGGACAAUACCGUGGGAAGUUUAACGAAGCUUGAACGACAAAUCGUUAUCGGUUCGCUUUUGGGUGACGGAUAUAUGAGAAUUAUACCCGGCAAGUCUAAUGCUUUUUUAGAAGUAAAUCAUUCUAUUAAAGCAAAGGAGUAUGUUGAUUAUAAAUUUGAGUCUUUAAGUAGACUCUGCGAAUCAUCUCCAAAAGAAAGAUCGACAAAUGAUGGCCGUGUUGCUUAUAGAUUCUUUACCAAACAACAUAAAGUGUUAACGGACUUGUAUCAUCAAUUUUAUCAGCAUGGAAGAAAAAUAAUUCCUGCCGGUCUAAUGCUUGAUCCCGUGACGCUAGCUGUUUGGUAUAUGGAUGACGGAAGUAAAUCUCGUGAUCGAGAUGUGUAUUUAAAUACACAGCAAUUUUCGGUGAAUGAUCAAAAGAGACUACUUCAUUGUUUAAGAUUGCUUGGCAUACAAGCAAGACUAAAUAAAGAUAAGCACUAUUUUCGAAUAAGAAUCAUGAAGGGAAGCAUCAAUCUUUUUAUGAAGAUGAUUGCCCCGCAUGUUAUUGAUUCGAUGAAAUAUAAACUCGUUAUAACCCCGUAGAGACUGUCCCCGUUUAGCGGGACGAGUGUUUUAAAUAAGAAACGCUAAUACGCCAACUCCUCAUCAUGGUUGAUUGCCAUGAGCGGAUGAAGAUAUAGUCCAUACUGUUAGUAAUAACAGAAAAAUAUACGAUGUCGGCUCAUCGCAUCCUGGGACUGGAGAAGGCCCCAAGGGUUUGGCUGUUCGCCAAUUAAAGCGGUACGUGAGCUGGGUUCAAACCGUCGUGAGACAGGUUGGUCUCUAUCUGCUGCAGGCGUUGAUAUUUGAAGAGCGUCGUUCCUAGUACGAGAGGACCGGAAUGACGGAACCUCUGGCGUACCGGCUGUCGUGCCAACGGCACCGCCGGGUACCUAUGUUCCGAAUUGAUAAGCGCUGAAAGCAUCUAAGCGCGAAGCAAUCUCUAAGAUUAGAUAUCGUUAUAGCUCCCUCGAAGAUUACGAGGUUGAUAGGCGACAGAUGUAAGCACGGUAACGUGUUGAGUCGAGUCGUACUAAUAGAGCGAAAUCUACUCAU